UACGUAGGGUGCAAGCGUUGUCCGGAAUUAUUGGGCGUAAAGAGCGCGCAGGCGGUCGUUCAAGUCGCGUGAAAGCCCCCGGCUCAACUGGGGAGGGUCACGCGAUACUGAUCGACUCGAAGGCAGGAGAGGGAAGUGGAAUUCCCGGUGUAGUGGUGAAAUGCGUAGAUAUCGGGAGGAACACCAGUGGCGAAGGCGACUUCCUGGCCUGUUCUUGACGCUGAGGCGCGAAAGCUAGGGGAGCAAACGGG
rnacentral:rRNA from 1 species